AAGCACAUAUACGUCUCCACGAUGUAUUGGCGAUGUAAUCAAAAUACGGCGGGGAUACGUAGUAGUUUGGUCGUCUGCUCACUGGCAAGACGUCCCCGAGACGUCGCUGCUAUACGUUUCUGCGACGUGCAGCCGCUCUUUCCACAACGUAUAUAUAUUUACAUCGUUCUAACGUAUGCCAUACAUCGUACAGAUGCAGGCUCAUAUACAUCGUUCUUACGUAUAUAAUACGUCGUAGAGAUGCGGGCUCAUAUACAUCGUUCUAACGUAUAUAAUACGUCGUAGAGAUGCGGGCUCAUAUACAUCGUUCUAACGUAUAUAAUACGUCGUAGAGAUGCGGGCUCAUAUACAUCGUUCUAACGUAUAUAAUACGUCGUAGAGAUGCGGGCUCAUAUACAUCGUUCUUACGUAUAUAAUACAUCGUAGAGAUGCGGGCUCAUAUACAUCGUUCUAACGUAUAUAAUACGUCGUAGAGAUGCGGGCUCAUAUACAUCGUUCUAACGUAUAUAAUACGUCGUAGAGAUGCGGGCUCAUAUACAUCGUUCUAACGUAUAUUAUACAUAGUCCCAACAACCGCUUUACAUUUUACAAUCUCAGGCACAUCUUCCUGACAUAUGUUGUACGUAGUACAGAUGUCAGGAAGAUGUGCCAAUCAGUUGAUCCUGCAUUAACCCAUUUAACACAACUGAUCAGUAUAGGUCACACAAAAUUACUUUAAAUGUCUUUACCAAAUUACAUGAAUUGCUAAAGUAAGAGAUAAGUCAUACACAAUUACUUACAAUACAUUUUAGUCAUGAAGCACUUUUAAGGGUACUCAGACAAUUACAUAGUUCAAAUUAUUAUAGAAAAUAGCUGACUUUAGCACAUUAAAAGCUAUUCUGAGAAUACAAAAAAUUAUCAUGUAGCUAUAUUUUGAGAUAAUUAUCCUACUUUUGUCUAUACCGGGGGUCGGCAACCCACGGCUCUAGAGCCGCAUGCGGCUCUUUAGCACCGCCCUAGUGGCUCCCUGAAGCUUUUUCAAAAAUGUUUGAAAAUGGAAAAACAUGGGGGGGGGAAAUAUAUUUUUUAUUUUAAUAUGGUUUCUGUAGGAAAACAAACAUGACACAAACAUUAUUAACGUUUUUCAAUGUUGUAAAAAUGUGUAGAAUAAAUAUUAAAUUUCAACUCUUCUGUCAGCGAAGAUUUACGUCAGAGCCUGCGACACACGUUUCUAUCAGUACGGCGGGAUGCAGGGCCGGGGGCUGGUGUAAACAAACCGGCGGCUGUGACCCGACACACCUGUGCGAGCAGAUAUUCUCGAACUACAUCAAAUCAAAAUAUCGCACCCGCCUCACAGAUGAGAGCUUGCAGUCCUGCGUCAAGAUUGAAGUUAAAUCUUACAUGCCCGAUGACGUCCGAAAACAGAAGUCACAUUAAACGGCAUCCUGAACUCUCUGCGUCCUUACCGCCGGUGUCCCAUAACAGACCGUCCAGCUCCUCCGACCCCCCUUGCUGGCUGUGAGAUGUCUCUGCUGCCAGACGGUACGACAAGUUCCUCAGGAUGCACACACAGUUCUCUACGGUCCGAUUGUAAAGAAAAAAGACAGAGGGAGAGAGAUGUGGAGAGAGAAAAAGAGAUGGACAUGAUGGGGGGGACAGAUGGCAUUAGGCAAAGAGACACACUCAAAAUCGUACUGUAGACACAGAUAAACAAACUGCGCAGUGCUGCUGGUAUAAUAUCAAAAAUAUAGACAUGGACACACGUGCAGUGUUCAACUUGUGCUACACGUUUCCCACAUCCAGGAGUGUGAAAGUGAAAUGCUCUCACACACUAUGUCAGGCAUCCCCCGCUCUGAUCCUGUUGUCUGUUUGUUUGUUGUCUCGGUCUGUGCAUCAUGGUUCCUGUUGCCAUGCAACCUGGGGAGGUGUGGCCUCCUUCACUCAUCACCUGUUCCUGCUCAGCCUAAUCACCAGCACCCACCUGUGUCUCAUCAUCAUCACCACCAGCUCUUAUACCGUGACCUGACAUCCAGUCCCUGUCGGAUCGUUAGUCUUCUCAUUAUCCUGCUACGGACCGUCAACACUCUUCACCCCCGGAUUGUCUUCACUCACCUGCCGUCACAGCAUUUCCCUCUGUUUCACCUUGGUUGGUCAUCUGGUGCUUG